GUUGGCUACAGAAAAUAUGAUUUAGCUGGAAAUGAACAAAAGGCGAAUGAAGAUGCACUUUUCACUCGGCACAAUUGCUCUUCUUUAUCUCUGCCACUGUGGAUUUCGCCCCCAGUGUCACUCUGCAGGUAAAGACGCCGUCGCUGUCCCACUCUGAGGGCUUCACACUCAGGAAGCUGCUCAGACCAAAGGUUUUAUCUGCCUGCUGUGUAG